rnacentral:siRNA from 1 species
CAAGAGUGGAAACAUGCCCUU